UACGGGGGGGGCAAGCGUUGUUCGGAAUUACUGGGCGUAAAGGGCUCGUAGGCGGCCAACUAAGUCGGACGUGAAAUCCCUCGGCUUAACCGGGGAACUGCGUCCGAUACUGGAUGGCUUGAGUUUGGGAGAGGGAUGCGGAAUUCCAGGUGUAGCGGUGAAAUGCGUAGAUAUCUGGAGGAACACCGGUGGCGAAGGCGGGUCACUGGGCCGCAACUGACGGCUGAGGAGCGAAAGCAUGGGGGAGCGAAACAGG
rnacentral:rRNA from 1 species